rnacentral:rRNA from 1 species
GACGAACGCUGGCGGCGUGCUUAACACAUGCAAGUCGAACGGAAAGGCCCUGCUUUUGUGGGGUGCUCGAGUGGCGAACGGGUGAGUAACACGUGAGUAACCUGCCCUUGACUUUGGGAUAACUUCAGGAAACUGGGGCUAAUACCGGAUAGGAGCUCCUGCUGCAUGGUGGGGGUUGGAAAGUUUCGGCGGUUGGGGAUGGACUCGCGGCUUAUCAGCUUGUUGGUGGGGUAGUGGCUUACCAAGGCUUUGACGGGUAGCCGGCCUGAGAGGGUGACCGGCCACAUUGGGACUGAGAUACGGCCCGGACUCCUACGGGAGGCAGCAGUGGGGAAUAUUGCACAAUGGGCGGAAGCCUGAUGCAGCAACGCCGCGUGCGGGAUGACGGCCUUCGGGUUGUAAACCGCUUUCGCCUGUGACGAAGCGUGAGUGACGGUAAUGGGUAAAGAAGCACCGGCUAACUACGUGCCAGCAGCCGCGGUGAUACGUAGGGUGCGAGCGUUGUCCGGAUUUAUUGGGCGUAAAGGGCUCGUAGGUGGUUGAUCGCGUCGGAAGUGUAAUCUUGGGGCUUAACCCUGAGCGUGCUUUCGAUACGGGUUGACUUGAGGAAGGUAGGGGAGAAUGGAAUUCCUGGUGGAGCGGUGGAAUGCGCAGAUAUCAGGAGGAACACCAGUGGCGAAGGCGGUUCUCUGGGCCUUUCCUGACGCUGAGGAGCGAAAGCGUGGGGAGCGAACAGGCUUAGAUACCCUGGUAGUCCACGCUGUAAACGGUGGGUACUAGGUGUGGGGUCCAUUCCACGGGUUCCGUGCCGUAGCUAACGCUUUAAGUACCCCGCCUGGGGAGUACGGCCGCAAGGCUAAAACUCAAAGGAAUUGACGGGGCCCCGCACAAGCGGCGGAGCAUGCGGAUUAAUUCGAUGCAACGCGUAGAACCUUACCUGGGUUUGACAUGGAUCGGGAGUGCUCAGAGAUGGGUGUGCCUCUUUUGGGGUCGGUUCACAGGUGGUGCAUGGCUGUCGUCAGCUCGUGUCGUGAGAUGUUGGGUUAAGUCCCGCAACGAGCGCAACCCUUGUUCACUGUUGCCAGCACGUUAUGGUGGGGACUCAGUGGAGACCGCCGGGGUCAACUCGGAGGAAGGUGGGGAUGACGUCAAGUCAUCAUGCCCCUUAUGUCCAGGGCUUCACGCAUGCUACAAUGGCUGGUACAGAGAGUGGCGAGCCUGUGAGGGUGAGCGAAUCUCGGAAAGCCGGUCUCAGUUCGGAUUGGGGUCUGCAACUCGACCUCAUGAAGUCGGAGUCGCUAGUAAUCGCAGAUCAGCAACGCUGCGGUGAAUACGUUCCCGGG